CAAUAGCGUAUGUUAAAGUUGUUGCAGUUAAAAAGCUCGUAGUUGGACCUUGGACCUGGACAGGCGGUCCGCCUCACGGCGUGUACUGUCUUGCUGGGUCUUUCCUCUUGGUGAUCUGUUGUUUCGGCAGCAGGGAACCAGGACUUUUACUUUGAAAAAAUUAGAGUGUUCAAAGCAGGCUCGACGCCGGAAUAUAUUAGCAUGGAAUAAUAAAAUAGGACGUGCGGUUCUAUUUUGUUGGUUUUUGGAAUCGCCGUAAUGAUUAAUAGGGACAGUCGGGGGCAUUAGUACUCACAUGCUAGAGGUGAAAUUCUUGGAUUUUGUGAAGACUAACUUCUGCGAAAGCAUUUGCCAAGGAUGUUUUCAUUAA
rnacentral:rRNA from 1 species